CCUACGGGUGGCAGCAGUGAGGAAUAUUGGUCAAUGGUCGGGAGACUGAACCAGCCAAGCCGCGUGAGGGAGGAAGGUACAGAGUAUCGUAAACCUCUUUUGUCAGGGAACAAAGGCGGGGAUGUGUCCCCGGAUGAGUGUACCUGAAGAAAAAGAAUCGGCUAACUCCGUGCCAGCAGCCGCGGUAAUACGGAGGAUGCGAGCGUUAUCGGGAUUUAUUGGGUUUAAAGGGUGCGCAGGCGGUCUGUUAAGUCAGCGGUCAAAGCCCGGGGCUCAACCCCGGCCCGCAGUUGAAACUGGCAGUCUUGAGUUGGAGAGAAGUAUGCGGAAUGCGCGGUGUAGCGGUGAAAUGCAUAGAUAUCGCGCAGAACUCCGAUUGCGAAGGCAGCAUGCCGGCUCCACACUGACGCUGAGGCACGAAAGCGUGGGUAUCGAACAGGAUUAGAUACCCCAGUAGUC
rnacentral:rRNA from 1 species